UGAAAAAUUGAGAAAAGCUCGUUAGGGAAGACGAAUGCAUUUAAAGAGGUGUAAAUUUAAAUGUUUUGGAACCCAUUAUCAAAUAUUCAUAUUUUGUAUUAUGUCUCUGUUGUGCAAAGACACCUUAAGAUGGAGCCAAAGCCCUGGAUAAUAGGAAAGUAGUAAUUGGUGUCAUAUCAUGACAAAGUGGCAUCUUGACUGGUCUUUCUGAUCGCUGUGUGUCGGGGAGGAGCCAAAUUCAGGUUCCAAAGAGACUUCACCACAUUGUCAUUUAUUUAUUUAUUUAUUUUUUUGAAGGG